UGGAGGUGGAACAGCUCUGGAUUUGGGGUCAGAAGACAGGUUCAGAUCCUGACUUGUUUCCUCCUAAAAUGAAGGAACUGAAUUUAGAAACUUCUUCCAGCUGUGACAUCACAGUUUUUAAGAGAAACAAACUGAGUGCACUAAGGUGUGCUUCCCUGAGGAUGAAGGGAAUCCUGAAGAUGGUCCAGAUGGCAGUGGGUGUGAAAUUUUUUCAGAACAUGCUGAAAGGAGAUGGGGUGACAGAAAUCAGGAUGAGGUUAAUCAUGUAAUUUGAGGACAAACUUCCAACUAGAGAAGAAUAACCAUUUUGGAGGCAUUGGAGAUGACCAGCUAAUUCUCAACUUUUCCCUGGGGCUGUAAAAUUAAAGUGCCCCCCACUUUAAACAA